rnacentral:rRNA from 1 species
GACGAACGCUGGCGGCGUGCUUAACACAUGCAAGUCGAACGGUGAACCUGCUUCGGUUGGGGCUCAGUGGCGUACGGGUGAGUAACGCGUGGGCAACCUGCCCUCAUCCCUGGUAUAACUCCAAGAAAUUGGGGCUAAUACUGGAUAUGACCGCUGACCGCUUGGUUUGGUGGUGGAAAGAUUUAUCGGCUGGGGAUGGGCACGCGGCCUAUCAGCUUGUUUGUGGGGUAGUGGCCUACCAAGGCGACGACGGGUAGCCGGCCUGAGAGGGUGACCGGCCACACUGGGACUGAGACACGGACCAGACUCCUACGGGAGGCAGCGGUGGGGAAUAUUGCGCAAUGGGCGAAAGCCUGACGAAGCGACGCCGCGUGGGGGAUGACGGCCUUCGGGUUGUAAACCUCUGUCAGCAGGGACGAAGCGAAAGUGACGGUACCUGCAGAAGAAGCACCGGCCAACUACGUG